rnacentral:rRNA from 1 species
CAGCAGCCGCCGCGGUAAUACGUAGGGUGCAAGCGUUAAUCGGAAUUACUGGGCGUAAAGCGUGCGCAGGCGGUUAUAUAAGACAGAUGUGAAAUCCCCGGGCUCAACCUGGGAACUGCAUUUGUGACUGUAUAGCUAGAGUACGGCAGAGGGGGAUGGAAUUCCGCGUGUAGCAGUGAAAUGCGUAGAUAUGCGGAGGAACACCGAUGGCGAAGGCAAUCCCCUGGGCCUGUACUGACGCUCAUGCACGAAAGCGUGGGGAGCAAACAGGAUUAGAUACCCCGGUAGUCCCUGUCUCUUAUAC